AACUUUCAAUAACUAUUUGGUUCUUUUCUUAGCUUGAAGAAGAGCUGAGCGGCAUUGUGGAGGUCAUUGGUAUGGUGUCCAGCAAAGGAGUAAUAACCACCACCACAUACAACCUCCUACGAGAGGACAAAGGCAUUCCCUUUGACUUGGAGCUGUACAAUGAAGCCCUGAAGGUCAUUCACGACUUUCCUCAGUACUACCCGUUUGAAGUGGCUGCAAGUGGAUGAAGAUUGGCUUCACUGUUUUUGUCUCAUUUUACAUGUUGGAGAGAAUAGUGUGGUACAAAAUAUUUGCAUUAAAAUGAAAACCUUUGUUAAUCACA